AUUGAACGCUGGCGGAAUGCUUUACACAUGCAAGUCGAGCGGCAGCGCGGGGGCAACCCUGGCGGCGAGCGGCGAACGGGUGAGUAAUACAUCGGAACGUAUCCUGGAGUGGGGGAUAGCUCGGCGAAAGCCGGAUUAAUACCGCAUAAGCUCUGAGGAGGAAAGCGGGGGACCGCAAGGCCUCGCGCUGCAGGAGCGGCCGAUGUCGGAUUAGCUAGUUGGUGGGGUAAAGGCCUACCAAGGCGACGAUCCGUAGCUGGUCUGAGAGGAUGAUCAGCCACACUGGGACUGAGACACGGCCCAGACUCCUACGGGAGGCAGCAGUGGGGAAUUUUGGACAAUGGGGGCAACCCUGAUCCAGCCAUUCCGCGUGAGUGAAGAAGGCCUCGGGUUGUAAAGCUCUUUCGGACGGAACGAAACGGUCAGGACCAAUACUUCUGACUAAUGACGGUACCGUAAGAAGAAGCACCGGCUAACUACGUGCCAGCAGCCGCGGUAAUACGUAGGGUGCGAGCGUUAAUCGGAAUUACUGGGCGUAAAGCGUGCGCAGGCGGUUGUUAAGACAGGUGUGAAAUCCCCGGGCUUAACCUGGGAAUUGCGCUUGUGACUGGAUAGCUAGAGUGCGGCAGAGGGGGGUGGAAUUCCACGUGUAGCAGUGAGAUGCGUAGAGAUGUGGAGGAANACCGAUGGCGAAGGCAGCCCCCUGGGCCAGCACUGACGCU
rnacentral:rRNA from 1 species